rnacentral:tRNA from 1 species
GGGUCUUUAGCUCAGUUGGGAGAGCGCCUGCAUGGCAUGCAGGAGGUCGACGGUUCAGGUCCGUUAAGAUCCA